GAUGAACGCUGGCGGCGUGCCUAAUACAUGCAAGUCGAGCGAACGGACGAGAAGCUUGCUUCUCUGAUGUUAGCGGCGGACGGGUGAGUAACACGUGGAUAACCUACCUAUAAGACUGGGAUAACUUCGGGAAACCGGAGCUAAUACCGGAUAAUAUUUUGAACCGCAUGGUUCAAAAGUAAAAGACGGUCUUGCUGUCACUUAUAGAUGGAUCCGCGCUGCAUUAGCUAGUUGGUAAGGUAACGGCUUACCAAGGCAACGAUGCAUAGCCGACCUGAGAGGGUGAUCGGCCACACUGGAACUGAGACACGGUCCAGACUCCUACGGGAGGCAGCAGUAGGGAAUCUUCCGCAAUGGGCGAAAGCCUGACGGAGCAACGCCGCGUGAGUGAUGAAGGUCUUCGGAUCGUAAAACUCUGUUAUUAGGGAAGAACAUAUGUGUAAGUAACUGUGCACAUCUUGACGGUACCUAAUCAGAAAGCCACGGCUAACUACGUGCCAGCAGCCGCGGUAAUACGUAGGUGGCAAGCGUUAUCCGGAAUUAUUGGGCGUAAAGCGCGCGUAGGCGGUUUUUUAAGUCUGAUGUGAAAGCCCACGGCUCAACCGUGGAGGGUCAUUGGAAACUGGAAAACUUGAGUGCAGAAGAGGAAAGUGGAAUUCCAUGUGUAGCGGUGAAAUGCGCAGAGAUAUGGAGGAACACCAGUGGCGAAGGCGACUUUCUGGUCUGUAACUGACGCUGAUGUGCGAAAGCGUGGGGAUCAAACAGGAUUAGAUACCCUGGUAGUCCACGCCGUAAACGAUGAGUGCUAAGUGUUAGGGGGUUUCCGCCCCUUAGUGCUGCAGCUAACGCAUUAAGCACUCCGCCUGGGGAGUACGACCGCAAGGUUGAAACUCAAAGGAAUUGACGGGGACCCGCACAAGCGGUGGAGCAUGUGGUUUAAUUCGAAGCAACGCGAAGAACCUUACCAAAUCUUGACAUCCUUUGACAACUCUAGAGAUAGAGCCUUCCCCUUCGGGGGACAAAGUGACAGGUGGUGCAUGGUUGUCGUCAGCUCGUGUCGUGAGAUGUUGGGUUAAGUCCCGCAACGAGCGCAACCCUUAAGCUUAGUUGCCAUCAUUAAGUUGGGCACUCUAAGUUGACUGCCGGUGACAAACCGGAGGAAGGUGGGGAUGACGUCAAAUCAUCAUGCCCCUUAUGAUUUGGGCUACACACGUGCUACAAUGGACAAUACAAAGGGCAGCGAAACCGCGAGGUCAAGCAAAUCCCAUAAAGUUGUUCUCAGUUCGGAUUGUAGUCUGCAACUCGACUACAUGAAGCUGGAAUCGCUAGUAAUCGUAGAUCAGCAUGCUACGGUGAAUACGUUCCCGGGUCU
rnacentral:rRNA from 1 species